rnacentral:lncRNA from 1 species
GUCCAUUCUGGACCUGAGUUGGUUCCUGUUAGUGUCAAGGAUGGGGUCAGACCGAGAAUGCUGGGGGAGGGUUUUCCGUGGAAAAAUUGCGCUAGAGAUUUGGCCAAAAACAAACAAGCAAAAAUGGCUUGCCCUCAACUAAUACUCGGCAGUGAUGAGUGCUGGAAAAACGGGCGAAUAUAAGAAUAUUUAACAGCUCUGAACUGGUUCAUCCUGGAACCAAGGAAAGUAUGCAAGGA